rnacentral:rRNA from 1 species
GACAGAGGUGCCAAGCGUUAGGCGGAAUCACUGGGCUUAAAGCGUGUGUAGGCGGAUCGUUAAGUACCUUGUGAAAUCCCACGGCUCAACCGUGGAACUGCUGGGUAUACUGGCGAUCUUGAGCCACCUAGGGGCAACUGGAACAAACGGUGGAGCGGUGAAAUGCGUAGAUAUCGCUUGGAACGCCAACGGUGAAAACAGGUUGCUGGGGGUGUGCUGACGCUGAGACACGAAAGCCAGGGGAGCGAACGGG